rnacentral:rRNA from 1 species
UACGUAGGGGGCAAGCGUUGUCCGGAUUUAUUGGGCGUAAAGAGCGUGUAGGCGGCCAGAUAGGUCAGCUGUGAAAACUCGAGGCUCAACCUCGAGACGUCGGUUGAAACCAUCUGGCUAGAGUCCGGAAGAGGAGAGUGGAAUUCCCGGUGUAGCGGUGAAAUGCAUUGAGAUCGGAAAGAACACCAACGGCGAAAGCACUCUGCUGGGCCGACACUGACACUGAGAGACGAAAGCUAGGGGAGCAAACGGG